rnacentral:lncRNA from 1 species
UGGAAAGUGAUGCCUACCAACAAUUACAUCUUCGCUAGUAUGGGAGUAUAGAAAAUAAUAAAUAAAGGUAGGUAGGUUAGCAAAAACGUAGUAAAAUAAAAAAUAAAAAAAACAAAGGGGAGAAAGAGCUCAUCAAUCAAGGUACGUCCCAAAAUGUAUGUAUCAUGACAAUAUAUGUCUAACCUCACCGAGUCAUACCAUAUUACAAGGAUAUAUAUAAUAAUGCAUCCAGAAUGCAAAAUUUUUAAAAUAUAUAAAUAAGUUUUUUAGGAGGGAGAAGAAGCAUGGAAGGGAAGGAAAUUCUUUUUGGUUGUUAAAUUGCGUGAGAAGUUUUUUUGCAAUCAUGUGACGUAGAAAUAGUCAUUUGGAACGGGGGGACACAUUUGAAAUAGACCCAUACUUACGGAUCAGCUGUAUCCUCUCUAUAGAGUGAAAUUUUUAUCCCAUCAAGUUCGGUGUUGAGUUGGUAAACUAGUUCAUUCAUAAAAUAAUACUGACAAAUACAUGUAUAUCAUGCCUUUUUUUUUUCUAUCAUGUUAAUGGUACUUCUAGUCCAACCAAUAAUUUUUCUUGCAGACAUGCACGCAUGGGGCACGCUUUCAUCCCAAUGAAGCCAAACAGGUUUAGCUCUUGACUUCCUCCAUCGCACCCCAUUUCGAUACGUUAUCUUCCUCGACACGAACGGCUUUAUGGGUUCUUGAUCUGGCAAAUUUAUUACGGUAGGAGAAGCAUUUAGAUAGCAUGCAUCUACGCCACGACAAAGACCUCUGUACUAAUGAUAGCACUAUUUAUCACUUUUAGUUAUGAUCUUAACCUUGAUUUUGGAAUCGAUAUAUUUUACACAGAUAAUUCCAUGGGAUUUUUUUUUUCUUUUACCAAGUUUCUUAGUUCUAGAUAUUAAAAUUAAUUCUUCUAAUAAUGAACAACCGUUCUUGUUCUUUAUUAGUUACUAUAUGAAUUUCUCGGAUAUUUUGAUCACCUUAGAUUUCUCUAGUAUUUCGUCCAGGUCAAAAUAAAGCAAUUUUUGGAUCCAUAUAUUUAUUGUUUCAAGCACCAAGAUGAUUGAGAAAGUAGUUUUUGAUGGUCAUAUCUAAAAUUACAGUGGCCUCGGUAAAUCAUUAUCCCCCGGCUAUCACACGUUAGAUGUACAUGUAAAGCCUAAAUUAUGGAAAUUCUCGUCAUCAUCGUUCUUUGUGCGAGGUGGUAUGUAUCGGUAGUACGAGGGCUGCGAGUAAUGAUUGGGUGACGGGCGAAUUGGAGAGCGCAGCGUGGGCACCGGAGGACCACGAGGAUAAGGUUAGCCCCGCUCAGGUGUCGCUUUCGGACCAACCGCCCGGCCAGGCCGCGGACGUACGUCCCGCGUCGCGCCUCUCUUUAUCCCCAGCCGCUCCCCUCUUGGCCAGCCUAAGAAAGAAGACAUCCAGGGAUGUUACAUGGCAGUCCCCAGAGAUACACCUUGGCCCCAGGCCUCACAGCUUGCAUCUCCUACUGUUUUGUAGAACUUAAAUAGUAUUUUCGGUUGUGUUUCUUUUCUUUUUUUUUUCUUUUUCUCACAAGGUCGAGCAAAUAUAUUUAA